AUUGAACGCUGGCGGCAGGCUUAACACAUGCAAGUAGAACGAGUGGCUGACGGGUGAGUAAUGCUUGGGAAUCUAGCUUAUGGAGGGGGAUAACUACGGGAAACUGUAGAUAAUACCGCGUACCCUAGGAGGAGCCCAAGUGGGAUUAGGUAGUUGGUGAGGUAAAGGCUCACCACGCCGACGAUCUAUAGCUGGUCUGAGAGGAUGACCAGCCCCACUGUGACUGGUACACGUCCCAGCCUCCUUCGGGAGGCGGACAUGGGGGAUAUUGCGCAAUGGGUGCAACCUGCCGCAGCCAUGCCGCGUGAAUGAAGAAGGCCUUCGGGUUGGAAAGUUCUUUCGGUAGCGAGUCGUUAACUACAGAAGAAGUACCGGCUAACUCCGUGACAGCAGCCGCGGUAAUUC
rnacentral:rRNA from 1 species